UGGGGAAUUUUGGACAAUGGGCGCAAGCCUGACCCAGCAAUGCCGCGUGCAGGAUGAAGGCCUUCGGGUUGUAAACUGCUUUUGUACGGAACGAAACGGCUCUGGUUAAUACUUGGGGCUAAUGACGGUACCGUAAGAAUAAGCACCGGCUAACUACGUGCCGGCAGCCGCGGUAAUACGUAGGGUGCGAGCGUUAAUCGGAAUUACUGGGCGUAAAGCGUGCGCAGGCGGUUAUAUAAGACAGGUGUGAAAUCCCAGGGCUCAACCUGGGACCUGCAUUUGUGACUGUAUAGCUAGAGUACGGUAGAGGGAGAUGGAAUUCCGCGUGUAGCAGUGAAAUGCGUAGAUAUGCGGAGGAACACCGAUGGCGAAGGCAAUCCCCUGGACCUGUACUGACGCUCAUGCACGAAAGCGUGGGGAGCAAACA
rnacentral:rRNA from 1 species